AGUAGCUGGGAUUACAGGCCUGCGCCACCACGCCCAGGGCUCAAGACGGCGUGUAGCAAACAGAAGGUGCUCAACAAAUGUCUGUCUGUGGAAUGACUGACCACAUGCACGAAAAGCCUUUGAUGGAAAAAAAACAAUGAAAGAGAAAAGUGAAAUGAGAGUAAAAUUCUUCACUGAUGUUAAUUCCUAUUUGCCAUGAAUCCAAUCAAUAAACAUUUAGAACAAACUUAUACUCAGGUUAUUUAAUUAGCACCCUACUCUGCUUCCCCAGGUGAUCUGAAAUGUUAAAGGAGACACAGCAAGCUCCAGGACUCUGUUGGUACAUCUCAGACCAUGUGGCUUCACAUAUAAUACAAGUGGAAAUCUGUCUCAAGUUUCCUAGUAUGCUGAAUAAAGACGCUGCAUUGGGAAAUAUGAACCCCGUCCUCGUGACCUCU
rnacentral:lncRNA from 1 species